GGCGCUUCAGGUGGCUCUGGGUCGAAAGUUCUGACGACAGACCAGGAGCGGGAAGCCGUGGAAGUCAUGUGUGAGGUCGCCGGUCUGUCGCAACGUCGUGCCUGCAGGCUGGCAGAUC
rfam:Serratia odorifera DSM 4582 genomic scaffold SCAFFOLD1, whole genome shotgun sequence.